rnacentral:rRNA from 1 species
GACGAACGCUGGCGGCGUGCUUAACACAUGCAAGUCGAACGGUGACCCAGGGCUUGCCCUGGUGAUCAGUGGCGAACGGUGAGUAACACGUGGGCAACCUGCCCCUGACUUCGGGAUAACUCCUCGAAAGAGGAGCUAAUACCGGAUACGACCACUUCGGACAUCCGAUGGUGGUGGAAAGUUUUUCGGUCAGGGAUGGGCCCGCGGCCUAUCAGCUAGUUGGUGGGGUAAUGGCCUACCAAGGCGACGACGGGUAGCCGGCCUGAGAGGGCGACCGGCCACACUGGGACUGAGACACGGCCCAGACUCCUACGGGAGGCAGCAGUGGGGAAUAUUGCGCAAUGGGCGAAAGCCUGACGCAGCGACGCCGCGUGAGGGAUGAAGGCCUUCGGGUUGGUAAACCUCUUUCAGCAGGGACGAAGCGAAAGUGACGGUACCUGCAGAAGAAGCACCGGCUAACUACGUGCCAGCAGCCGCGGU